rnacentral:rRNA from 1 species
AUUGAACGCUGGCGGCAUGCUUUACACAUGCAAGUCGAACGGCAGCGCGGGCUUCGGCCUGGCGGCGAGUGGCGAACGGGUGAGUAAUGCAUCGGAACGUGCCCAGUAGUGGGGGUAGCCCGGCCAAAGGCGGAUUAAUUCCGCCUUCGGCCUUGAGGUUGAAGCGGGGGGACCAAAAGCCCUCCGCCAUUGGAGCGGCCGAUGUCGGAUUAGCUAGUUGGUGGGGUAAAGGCUUACCAAGGCGACGAUCCGUAGCUGGUCUGAGAGGACGACCAGCCACACUGGGACUGAGACACGGCCCAGACUCCUACGGGAGGCAGCAGUGGGGAAUUUUGGACAAUGGGGGCAACCCUGAUCCAGCCAUGCCGCGUGCGGGAAGAAGGCCUUCGGGUUGUAAACCGCUUUUGUUCGGGAAGAAAUCCUCUGGGCUAAUACCCCGGGGGGAUGACGGUACCGGAAGAAUAAGCACCGGCUAACUACGUG